rnacentral:rRNA from 2 species
CCUGAUUGAUUUUGGUCGCCAACGAGUGGCGGACGGGUGAGUAACACGUAGGUAACCUGCCCAGAAGCGGGGGACAACAUUUGGAAACAGAUGCUAAUACCGCAUAACAACGUUGUUCGCAUGAACAACGCUUAAAAGAUGGCUUCUCGCUAUCACUUCUGGAUGGACCUGCGGUGCAUUAGCUUGUUGGUGGGGUAAUGGCCUACCAAGGCGAUGAUGCAUAGCCGAGUUGAGAGACUGAUCGGCCACAAUGGGACUGAGACACGGCCCAUACUCCUACGGGAGGCAGCAGUAGGGAAUCUUCCACAAUGGGCGCAAGCCUGAUGGAGCAACACCGCGUGAGUGAAGAAGGGUUUCGGCUCGUAAAGCUCUGUUGUUAAAGAAGAACACGUAUGAGAGUAACUGUUCAUACGUUGACGGUAUUUAACCAGAAAGUCACGGCUAACUACGUGCCAGCAGCCGCGGUAAUACGUAGGUGGCAAGCGUUAUCCGGAUUUAUUGGGCGUAAAGAGAGUGCAGGCGGUUUUCUAAGUCUGAUGUGAAAGCCUUCGGCUUAACCGGAGAAGUGCAUCGGAAACUGGAUAACUUGAGUGCAGAAGAGGGUAGUGGAACUCC